rnacentral:rRNA from 1 species
GCCAAACUUAAGCCCAGCCAACUCCACAAACAUAUUACACAAACCAAACAAACCAUUUGACAAAAAAAGUAUUUGCGAAAGAACCUUUAAAGCCGGCGCGACAACACCGCAAGGGACAAUUGAAAGAACAAUGAAACACUAAAGCACAACAAAGCAAAGACUAACCCUUGUACCUCUUGCAUCAUGAUUUAGCAAGCAAUCCCAGACAAAGAGCCCUUAAGUCUGCCUUCCCGAAACUACGUGAGCUAUUUCCGGGCAAUUAGAUGAAUGAACUCGUCUCUGUGGCAAAAGAGUGAGAUGACCCAUAAAUAGAGGU